ACAACUCAACUCUCCUCAAGAUGGGAUUUCAAAAGGAAGAUGAUAGCUGGAUAUUCAGAAGGAAUGCUGCAAACAGAGCUGAAAAUGAAGCUGCUGAUCCAGAAAAUGAAGAAGAAAAUGCUGAUGGAGUGCAGAACAUGGAUGCAUCACCAGUACACUCUGCUGGACAUGAGGAUAUUGCUGCUACAAGCCAAAAUGCAAUGGUUGCAUAUGAGGCACCUGAAUACAGAGGUGAACCUCUGUCUAUGUUUGAAAGACAAGUGCUAAGCAGGCUGGACACACUCACAUAUGAG
rnacentral:lncRNA from 1 species